UGGCUCGAUGGCGUCCAGCGUGGAGGAGGAUGGGGACGAGCGACGGAGGGGAGGAGAUCCGGUGAGGAAGCGGUCCGGCGAGGCAGCUUCGGGCGACGGCGAGGUUGCUCUGGUUGGCGGCGAUUCCUUGGGCGCGGGCGCACGAAGGACGACGAGGCGCCGGCGGUUGGAGGCAGAGGGCGGCGUCGGGGCCAAGGGGACAUGGAAGGCUAGCACCGAGGCAUGGCAGCGGCGCGGCUUGGCGGAGCCAGGAGCGAACGAAGGUAGGAGAGGCUGUGAGGGGGGUUCAAGCACGAGGCAUCUCGCCUCUGUGUGUGCGGCGGCGCGAGGGAUUGUGAGGGGAGCGAGAGGAGUGGGGGAACGAGAGGGAGUAUUCUCGCUGCAGUUAGUGUAAGUGUGAGGUUGGUUGGGCCUAGCAGGCCUAAGGCCCAGGGGGAUGAGGGGGGUUUGAUUUUUUUGUUGUUGUUGUCGUUUUUUUUCUCUUUUCUUUUUACUAUUUUUUUCUUCUAUUAUGUUUUACUUUACUUUUUGUUUUUCUAGCUUUGUAAAAUACGAUGAUAGCUCCUAAAUUAAUGUUUCCGAAUAACCCACUGCCCUAAAAAGUUUACCCCCUAAAUAGAAUAGUUUAACAUUUUAUUAAUUAUAAAAGGCAUUUCAAUAAUUGUUUUUGCUACUGUUUUAAUCACUUUACAGUAUUUAACAAUUUUAUAUAAGUGUGGUUUCUCCACCAAUGUUACCUAUGAAUUAUCUGGUACCUCUAGAACAAUUUAGUUUGAAAGUUUGAAAACUUUUUAUCGUUUGACUUAAAGUUGAAUUUGAAUUUGAAUCAGUUUUGAACUAACGCGAGAUUAACAACAGUAACCGUGGUGACAUGGCAUCAUUAACGUGGGAUUACUAUAGCCUAAUUAUCCAGGCGUCACAAUUCUCCUCCACUACAAGAAAUCUCGUCCCGAGAUUUAAGAGGUAGUGAAAGGGGGGAAGGUUUGGUAACACAUCUAGCAUGUCUUCUCAUCCUGGCUUGCUCUUCUCAGAGAGGCCGGUCCAAUACAUUGAUGUCUUCAUUUCUCUGCUUCAGGUCAUCAUGAUGAAGUCGGCGUCCUUUCUUCAGGAACUCCAUCGUACUUAUGAAAGAAUAGGGGGUUAUUUCAGAAGAACGGAUCUCUUACAAGGUUGACUAUCUGCAUAACAACAUCAAGGAAGGUGGCGGAAAGUAACCCUUGAAACUUUAGAAAUUAUCGAUAGAAAAGUAAGAAGGUGCAAAAUAGAAGUUUCAAGCGCAUAGGCAAUCAUUUGUUGCCUCAUACGAAAUGUGAAAUGGGUUCGGAGUAAUGGGGAAGUAUUGCAUUUAAUACCAGAAUUGACGAUCACACAGAAGGUGGCUCAUGAAUUACAUACGAAGCCAAGCGUGAGGAAUAACUUUGGAAACAGGGGAUGUAUAGGAGAGUCAGGUUUCGAUCCUGUGGAACUUUGGGUUAUGGGCCCACCAUGUGGUUAAAAGUAGGAAGGGCGUUGACAUCUUGCACGGUCAUAAUAGCAAGACAUGUCAGGGGGUAGCCUAUUAGUUAUGCCGGCAACAAUGUCGGUACCAAGGGCGAGGGAUGAAGAGAACCAUUUUCCCGCUCGUUGAACGAGGCGGGCCAAUAGGCAAAGUUUUCGUCCAUCGGUGGCUACCAGAAUGUCAUCAACAAUAGUAACACGGUCUUACUGACAGAGUUGUACACUGAGGUGGGACAAAAAGUAGAAAAUCCUUUAGUAAGGGGAGAGAAACUUCAUGACAUUAUCCAUACAACGGUGUUUGGAUAAUUGAUAAAGAAAAUUUAGCAUUGUGCUUCAAAUGUUCUUAUUGAAAAUCGGAGUACGAGUGACAUGCUUCAAGAUAGAAUUGACAAGGUCUUCCAGCAAAGGUCAGGCUCUGGAUACACGAAGGAUCCAUCAGGAACAACUUGUAGAAUAAGUAUUACAAUUUCCUCAUGAAAGAAUGGAUAACCUUGCAGAAAAAGGAAACUAUAACACUAGGUGCUCCGGCUAGGUGUGCUAGGCAUGACAUCACCUUACCCGGUCAUGUAAAGAUGUUAUAACCCCUGGUAACAUGUUCCAAUCAUCACAUCUGACUAAGAUCCAGAUCUGAUUGGUGUCGGGAUAACUCAGAUUCAGAAUGCCCGAGAAGAAAGGCACAACACAAAUUGACGAGAUGACAUUGUAAGAUUUUCGGAAAAUGAACUAUGGAAGCGAGUUCCGAAACAAGAAUUCAUCAUUACACCAAGGAGAGGCUGAGGAGGUGGCUGAUGGUCUCAGUGACAAUUCAAUGAGAUUUCCAAAAGAUGGAUUUCCACAAUUAUGUGAACAAGGAGUUAACAUUAGUCAGAUCAAAUGAUAUAAUGAUGUAUGCUCGAGGAAAACAUACACAAUUUAACAAUGAUAGAAGGGUGCACCCAGAAAUCUGGACUAGGUAGCACGAUCAAUGUUUGAAUGAUGAUUCAAUAAGCAAUAGACUUAGAAUGAAACUAUCGACCAUACACUUCAAGCAAUAUGGUUGCCAGAAGUUUUGAAUUUACACCUCAAAGUUCAAUUGCCGGUAUUCCGAUUGGAAACAACACGGGGACCAAGGAAUGAACGGAUAUGGCAAGAAGUAUCACCUGUAUCCAAAAUUCUUAAGAGGUGGUGAAAUUCUCACGACAUUCUUGAAAUAAAAGAUGGUCAUACUCCAAGGUAAAGAAGAACAAUUGCUGGAUAGCAAGGAACUCAACGUAUAACACAAAACAUGAACAAUUUUGUGUUGAACGGAAGGCAAUAAAAUGGUCGAUGAUAAAACAAAUCAUCGAGGGCAAGGAUGGUAUUUCUCAUCAUGAAUUCAAUUGAUAUCUAGGAAGGAGUCAAGAUGUUUAUGAUGAUCACGACAAAUUUUGUCAAGAGGCUCCACGAAGAAGCAAUCGAACAACGACUGCAUCAAGCAAAAGGACUGAUGCAGGGAUAGAUUAUUGGAUCCAUGGAUACGACACCAACUCGAAAUUGCUGUUCGAGGUGAACGAUAAGAUGAGGAAGAUCGAUGUAAGAUUAGCUCAGCGUAGAAACUUAUGCUCCGGGAAUAAGGACCAGGUAGCAUAGUUAAAAUCAGCACGAUAAUGAUAUAGCCGAUCCGGCUAAGAAUAACAUGAUCGAGUACAAACUCCUAAGUAAAGAAGAUUACUAAGAGUUGUCUAAUCGCGAUGCGGACUCAAUUUAGUUAUCGGUGUACUCGAGUGACUAACCACUCAGAACCCAGGAAAAAUUGGAAUUGGUGAGAAUGUAGUACUUGAUGAAGAACUCAUAAGAAGAUAUGAUGUUCUGUGAUAACCUCGAGAUACCAUGGGGUAAUACUUGACAAUAGAUUAAAGUAGAGGUUGGACUAGGGUAUUGCUCUAUAGAAGACAAGUGCUUACACUUGCACGAGAAAUGGUAUUUAAAGGAGAACAUGGUCGGAACCACGAUUGCAAAAGGCUAGAUCCCACAUAUAAGAUGAACUUAUACCAAGGGAAUAACUAAUUUAAGACAAUCUUUAAUGAUAAGAUCUACAUCGUGUCCAUGGGCAUGAACACAAAGUUCAAGGUCGACUCCCACUUCUUCAAUGCAUAACCUUUCAUUCACUGCUCUAGAUAAAGAUGAUUUCAUUGUCAAAACCUACCUGGUAAAUUACCAGAGGAGUAUGACCUGUGAAAACUUUCAGGCUCACACGGUUUAGAGAAGGUAUAGGUUCAACCCAUCGGGGCAUCUUAGAAACAUAUACCACAAGCUUCAAGAGUAAAUAUCACCAGCUCGAAAGCAUAGCAAGGUUGAGAAAGUAGAGGAUACAAUUUACCAAAGGCAUUAUGUAUCCGAGGGAAGGCUCACAAGGUUAUUGAAUAUGAAGGACGCUAUCGGAUAAAAUCCAUUAAAGGAUCUGCCGGUCCAUAACGGAGCUGAUGUGAGCAUCGACACACAACCAGAGGAAGUAACAAUGCAAAGGCAUUGGAUUAUAGAAACAACUGACUAAUCCAGAGCUCAAAUGCAAAGGAAUUGUGAUUUUCAAAUCAAGGGAUCAGAAGCAAUGUUCUGAUUAGGGAUGGAUAAGUUGAGUAGACUUAGGGCUACAAUUGAUGGCAAUUGGAUUGGUUGAGAACCAGAUCAUGUUCGAAAGACGUCUGAGAUGGAAAGAUAAUUUAUAAGGAUCAACUGAUGAUUGCGUGCAUUCGCACUCAUGUUGAAUCAAUAGGAUCAAAAUGACGGUGUCUAAGGAUACUAACGAAUAUUGCCAGACAUAUGGAAAUCAUCCAUAAUGCAAGCAGACAAGUACUGCAGAGCAAUAAGCUACUGAGGAAUUUUGGAGGAUCAAAUAGUAUUUCGAAGACAAUUGUGAAACACAUGAACAACUGGGGAUGAGUGGAUACUCGAUAAGGGCGAGAAAUUAUCCGUAGUGGUAUUCAGGUGGCAAGGAACUGCAAGGCAGUAGGCACAAAAUAUUCUCGGAUCAAUAGAGAGGAUUUCAGGGUAUCUGGUUAUAACAAGAUGAACUGGGAAUAAAAGUAAGAACGGCAAGUGUAUGUAUUUAUCCAUAGGGAUAUUUCGGUGGUAGGGCAUUGCAAAAGCAACAGGCUCAAAGUCUCGAGAGAACAUCAGAGAGUAUCUUUGAAAUCCUUCGGUGGACCAAGUGAUCAUCUGGAGUAAGGAGCUCUCCGGGUGGAAGUAGUUACGAGAACCUAGAGUCGGCAUUAGUAAAAUCAUUUAACCAAAAUAGAGGAGAGAUUAGAAUCCCAGAGUAUAGGUCGAGGAAUAAAAGAUGCGAAUUCCACCGAAUGGCGACGUGGGUCCGUAAGACACGGAGCCAUGUUAGUAAAUGUUUUGCAAUGUCUAGACUCAACUUCGGCCAAGGAGUUUGGAAGGGGGAUUCCUACAGGCAGUCAGCUCUGAUACCAACUCGUGACGCCCCCGAUUCAAUAGUACACUAAUCAUACACGCAAACAUGUACGAUCAAGAUCAGGGACUCACAGGAAGAUAUCACAACACAACUCUACAAAUAAAAUAAAUCAUACAAGCAUCAUAUUACAAGCAGGGGCCUCGAGGGCUCGAAUACAAGAGCUCGAUCAUAGACGAGACAGCGGAAGCAACAAUAUCUGAGUACAGACAUAAGUUAAACAACUUUGCCUUAAGAAGGCUAGCACAAACUGGGAUACAGAUCGAAAGAGGCGCAUGCCUCCUGCCUGGGAUCCUCCUAACUACUCCUGGUCGCCAUCAGCGGGCUGCACGUAGUAGUAGGCACCUCCGGUGUAGUAGGAGUCAUCGUCAACGGUGGCAUCUGGCUCCUGGGCUCCAUCGUCUGGUCGCAGCAAUCGGGUAUAGAAAGGGGGAAAAGAGAGGGCAAAGCAACCGUGAGUACUCAUCCAAAGUACUCGCAAGCAAGGAGCUACACUACAUAUGUAUGCAUUGGUAUCAAAUGGAAUAAGAGUAUCAUAUGUGGGCUGAACUUCAGAAUGCCGGAAUAAGAGGGGGAUAGCUAGUCCUGUCGAAGACUACGCUUCUGGCCACCUCCAUCUUGCAGCACGUAGAAGAGAGCAGAAGGUAAGUUCACCAAGUAGCAUCAUGGAACAUAAUCCUACUCGGCGAUCCUCUCCUCGUCGCCCUGUUAGAGAGCGACUACCGGGUUGUAUCUGGCACUUGGAAGGGUGUGUUUUAUUAAGUAUCAGGUUCUAGUUGUCAUAAGGUCAAGGUACAACUCCAAGUCAUCCUGUUACCGAAGAUCAUGGCUAUUCGAAUAGAUUAACUUCCCUGCAGGGGUGCACCACAUAACCCAACACGCUCGAUCCCAUUUGGCCGGACACACUUUCCUAGGUCAUGCCCGGCCUCGGAAGAUCAACACGUCACAGCCCUACCUAGGCACAACAGAGAGGUCAGCACGCCGGUCGAAAUCCUAUGGCACAGGGGUCUGAGCCGAUCGCCCAUUGCACACCCGCACGUUGCAUGGGCGGUCGAAGAGCAGACCUAGCAACCUCCAUUACAAAGGAAGUUGCGUUACGCGGUCCAACCCGGCGCGCGCCGCUCAGUCACUGACGUCACGAAGGCUUCGGCUGAUACCACGACGUCGAGUGCCCAUAACUGUCCCCGCGUAGAUGGUUAGUGCGUAUAGGCAAGUGGCCAGACUCAGAUCAAAUACCAAGAUCUCGUUAAGCGUGUUAAGUAUCCGCGAACACCGACCAGGGCCAGGCCCACCUCUCUCCUAGGUGGUCUCAACCUGCCCUGUCGCUCCGCCACAAAGUAAUAGUCGGGGGCCGUCGAGAACCCAGGCCCACCACUACCUGGGUGGAACCACCUGCCCCUUCAGCCCCCAUCUUCGAACAGUACCACAUGUAAUGUAAUAGUGUAAAGUAUAUAGUAUAUGCCCGUGAUCACCUCCCGAGUGAUCACGGCCCAGUAGUUUAGCAUGGCAGAUGGACAAGAGUGUAGGGCCACUGAUGGAACACUAGCAUCCUAUACUAAGCAUUUAGGAUUGCAGGUAAAGGUAACAACAAUAGUAGCAAGGACAGGUUAUCCAUCAAGAUAGGAUAACGGAAUGCAGUAACAUGGUACACUACUCUAAUGCAAGCAGUAGAAAGAGAGUAGGCGAUAUCUGGUGAUCAAGGGGGGGGGGCUUGCCUGGUUUCUCUGGCAAGUAGGGGUCGUCAAUAGCGUAGUCGGUUGGGGCACCAGCAGCGGCGUCGGUCUCGUAGUCUACCAGAACAGAUGCAUAACGAUGCAUUACAAAGCAAACAACGGUGUUAGGUGUGCCCUAACGCGGUAGUAGGUGAUACCGGCGAAGGGGGAAAACAUCUGGGAAAGUAUCCCGGCGUAUCGCGUUUUCGGACAAAGGAACCAGAGGGGGAAAGUUGCGAGUUUGAUAUGCUAGGGGCGUGUGGUGGACGAACGGGCUAUGUAACCGGAUUCGUCUUGUCGUUCUAAGCAACUUUCAUGUACAAAGUAUUUCCAUCUGAGUUACAGAUUACUUUCUAUGAUUUUCAAAGUUUUAUAUGAUUUUCUGGAAUUUAUGGAAUUAAUUCCAAUUCGAAAAUAAAGAAUAAAUUGCUACGUGCAUACACAAAGUGUACACAUCAGAGCAGCACAGAGGGUGACAGUGGGGCCCAGUUGACUGCCCAGUCAGCAGUCAACUAUGGACUUUGAGUAGUCAACUGACCAUUGGGUCCCACAUGUCAUUGACUGUUCUUUUAUCAGUGCUUAUCCCUUUAAACAGUGCAGCGGGUGUCGUGGUUCUAAGCCUGAUAGUAGAAUAGGGGGGUAGGAAUGUAGAGGCGAGAUCCUAGCUAUGGAGGAGUUGUACACGCGAGUUUUACGAGUUUAGGCCCUUCUCAGAGGAAGUAACAGCCCUACGUCUCGGAGCCCAGAGGCGGUCGACUGGAUAUAUACGUGUGAAUUACAAAAGAUGCGAAUGCUUGUCCCGGAGGAGGGGGUGGCUUAUAUAGAGUGCGCCAGGACCCCAGCUCCCCUCUGUUACACAGGGUUCAAUGUUCAUAAAGGAGGAGCGUUACUGGUAACGUCCGAAGUAAAGUGCUAUAAAUGAUUAUUAAAGCUAUGACUUAAAUCCCGACCGUUGCGGAGUGAGUGGCUUCACAUCUUCUGGUGGUCGAGUGGUUGUUCGCAUGGUCGAGUGGCUUCAAGGCUGUCGAGUGGAACAUAGCUUCAUGGUUGAGUGGAUGAAGAUCUCUCUUUGAUUGCUUCUGGUUCUUUUUAGAGAUGUCCUUGGGGAGGGUAUCUUGGACAGAUCCCUGACCCUACUCUAGGUACACAACUUCGUCAUUAGCCCUCGAAUGGAUCAGGGUUUGAGUGGGGAAGGAGUUGAGAACACUUCCAACUCAUUCUUUGUGUUGUGAGUAUAACUUGUUCUGGAGCCAUAAACUGAGGAGACAACGCCAACUUCUUUUUCCGUCGCCUUGGUAAAUUCUUGGUAUUUGUCGAGUGAACUUUCACUACUAGGGAAAACCUUAUACACAGAAUCUUAGCAGCAGCGCGGCAUAAAAACAGGUGCUGCUGCUAAGUAGUAGCAGCGCGGCUACGGAAAGCUCGCUACUAGUGCAAACUUAGCAGUGGCGCAUGAUGCUUAAACCGCGCUGCUACAAAAAUCCACUGACAGUACACAACGACAUAAGUUUACCAGUAGCGCGGCGCCAGGGAGCCCGCUGCUGCAAAUGCCAUAGUAGCAGCGCGCUUUUUUGUCACCUCGCUGCUGCUAAUUUUGAAAUUGUGCACAGGGUUGGCCCGUUUAGCAGUAGUGCGUGACAGGAAAGCGCGAUGUUGCUACGCUCUUAGCAGCAGCGCGCUUUCUCUCCCGCGCUACUGCUAAGACACAGCACCCACCACCUUUUCCACCUCCCCUCCCCAUCUCCUCUCCUCCCUUUCCCCUACCUCCCACAUCCUCCCUCUCUCACUCUUCUUCUUCCUCAAUACUUCUCCCCCCAUUACUCUCCCUCUUCUACCUACCUUUCUCUCUCUUCAUUACUCCUAGCUAUAACUACACCACCUCCAUUAAUUCAUCUCCUUUCUCUUUUUCCUCACCCCUCCACUAGUUGAAGUUGUCUCCUCCCAAAUUAGCUAGCUAGGUAGAUGUAGCAUUUAGUUAAGUGACCUAUUUGCCCCCUGACUAGAUCUUUCUUUGUCAAGAAGAGCUUUGUGCACUUUUGACCUCCCUACAUCAUCAUCUCCACCGUGUGCUCGAUCUCGAGAUAGAGGUGUGAUUAAUAUUUCAUGCUUUUGCAAAAUGGAAAUAUGUUUAUGCAUGUGUGUGAUAUUUCUAUGGAAAUUGUGUGUGUGGCAUGAGUUGACGCCAAAUUGUGCAUUUGAGUUGCCUAUGUUUUGCCGAAAUGUCGAUUUAUGUCCGUUUCGGCGAAUUCCAGGCAAACUCUAGAUCUAUAUAUGUCCUAUUUUUAAGGAAGGUCAUGCCGAAUUUUUGUAUGACUUUGAUGAAUGCAUGCAUUUUUAUAAUCAAUUUGUUUAUUAUUACCGUGCAGAGUUGACGAUGGUCAGUGGAAUGAUGGUGGACAGGUGGUUGCGAUCGGCGGUGCAGGACAUGAAGGAAAAUAACCUGACAGAGGUUUUAUGUCUGUGUCGAAAAUGCAAAGGAAUAGUUUGGUUUGACCCCCAUGUCGAUGGUCGUGUCGAAGCGCACCUGCUCAUGACUGGUUUCAUGGAUGGCUAUACUCGGUGGAUAACUGAAGAUGAGGAUGACGAUGUUGAGGAUGCCGACGGGGCAGGCAAUGAUGACACGGGGCAAGAUGAAGAGAUGAUCGAUAAUGGCGGCGGGAAGAGGCCGGACAUGGCGGCGGAGAAGGGGCCGGACAUGGCGGCGGAGAAGGGGCCGGACAUGGCGGUGGAGAGAACGACAUGGACUCCACGCAGCAGAGUUCGUCGGUACUAAGUUCAAUCGUGCGGGACCCUCAUGUUCAAGCAUUGCUUCGCAAGGAGACGAGUACUGAGAGAGCUGCUUCUAGAGAGGAGGCUAAGCUGGAGCAACUGGUGGUAGACUUGAACACUCCAUUGUAUGAUGGUUGCAAUCCUGAGGUGACCCGCUUGAGUUUCACGCUCCAAGUGCUGAAGACGAAGGCUAAAAACAAAUGGACCGACACUAGCCUCGAUGAGCAUCUCAAGUACCUAAAGGAUGUUCUUCCCGAGGGUAAUCUAUGUCCUAGUAGUGUUGAUGAGGCCAAGAAGAUCGUGUGCCCUCUUGAUCUGCCACACGUUAGAUACCAUGCAUGCAUCAACGAUUGCAUAAUUUAUCGGAAGGAGCACACGGAAAAAACAAGUUGUUUGGUGUGCAAUGCUUCUCGAUACAAGAAGGCCGGGAAGAAAUGUCCCCAGAAAGUGGUAUGGUACUUACCGAUCACUCCCCAUCUCUAGAGGUAUUUUGUAGAUCCCAAGGAAGCAAAGCUAAUGCGCUGGCACGCGGAGAGGAAGAAGCCCGACGAUGGAGAUGAUCCGAAGCUGAGACACGUCAAGGAUGGAAGCCAGUGGAGAGCGUUGAAUAGCUUCUAUCUGUAUUUUGAAUGUGAUGCAAGGAACAUCGUGCUCGGCGCGUAUACCGAUGGCAUGAAUUCAUUUGGCAACGAGAGCACCAACCAUAGCACAUGGCCCGUGUUUGUAUGGAUGUACAACCUCCCCCCUGGUUGUGCAUGAAAUCGAAGUACAUUCACAUGAGCAUGCUUAUUCAAGGGCCGAAACAACUAGGAAAUAAUAUUAAUUUGUAUCUGAGGCUACUUCAGGAGGAGUUAGACACGUUAUGGAAAACACCGGCCAAGACAUGGGACGCCAGCAAAGGCGAGUAUUUCAACAUGAGAGACGCGCUGAUCACGACAGUGCACGACUAUCUUGGUUACGGAUAUGUGGCAGGCCAGGUGUGCCAUGGAUAUUGCGGAUGCACGCGGUGCAUGGAUGAUACGACAUCUCAGCAGCUAACGUCAAGGAAAGAUGGCGGGUCUUGGAAAAUCGUGUACAUGGGGCAUCGAAGAUGGCUCAAACAGGACGACCCAUGGAGAAACCGUGGAGAUCUAUUCAAUGGUCAUGCUGAGCAUCAAGGACCUCCACGUAAGCGGAGCGGUGCCGAAAUCGAUGAGCUAUUGAAAAACUGGAAGGAGUGCCCCGCGCCGGGAAAGACAAUGAGAAAGGCGCCGGAGCCGCUGCUGAAGGUAUGGAAAACGAGGUCUGUGUUCUGGGACUUGGAGUACUGGCACAAACUCGAUACACCUCAUUGCCUUGAUCAAAUGCAUAUCUGUAAGAAUGUCCUGGAGAGCUUGCUCGCAACACUGAUGAACAUGCCGGAUAAGACCAAGGAUGGGCCGAAGGCAAGAAAAGACUUGCAAGAUUUGAAAAUCAGGGAAGAUCUGCACAUGUCGCCCCGUAAAAUGUCAGACGAGACAGAGACGGAGACAGAGGCACGGGAGAAGAAGGGCAAGAAAAUAAAGAAUGAGGAUUAUUGCCCCCCUUCUUGCUUCACCUUAAGUCAGGCUGAGAUCAAUCAAUUCUUUAAGUGCCUUACUAGAGUCAAAGUUAGUUCCGGUUACUGUGGCAAGAUAAGUAGAUAUCUAGACACGGACAAGAAAAGGUUCAGCGGGAUGAAGUCUCAUGACUGUCAUGUGAUGAUGACGCAGAUAUUACCUGUUUUCCUUAGAGGGAUAAUGGACAAGCACGUUCAUGACACGCUUAUUGGUCUCUGCAACUUUUUUGACGUCAUCUCUUGAAAGUCGAUCAGUGCGAAGCAGCUCCGAAGGCUACAGGAAGAGAUCGUUGUGAUACUGAAUGAGCUUGAGAUGUACUUCCCGCAUGCAUUCUUUGACGUGAUGGUGCAUCUGUGUGUCCAUAUUGUGGAUGACAUAAUAGACCUGGGGCCGUCAUUCCUGCACAACAUGAUGCCGUUUGAGAGGAUGAAUGGGAUCGUCAAAGGAUUCGUUCGUAACAUGUCCCAUCCGGAUGGAAGCAUCGUCCAGGGAUAUUUGACACAACAGUGCAUCUCUUUCUGUGAGAAUUUUCUAUAUGGCGCAGACCAGCCGCCUGGUGUUAGUGUUAUGGGAGGCUCGAAGGAGAAGGUCACUGCAACGGUCGCAGGGAACUGCACGUGGCAUACUCAGAUCGACGCAGCGACUUUGACAGAGCAAACUUGGUAGUGAUACAACACCUAGACGAGGUAGAUCCUUUCGUGGCACUAUACAAAGAAAUUAUCGCAAAGAAGUAUCGUGAUCGGGGGUUAUGCAGGACGGACGCCGAAGUUACUAGAGAGCACAACUCCACUUUUUUGCAUUGGUUCAAAUAGCAUAUUAUUGCUAAUCCCCCGGAGGAGGUCAAAUGAUGUAAUAUAUAUAUAUAUAUGUUCCUAUUUUGUAUACACACUUAAUUAGCCAUUAUUAUGCAUGGGUCCAAUGAUGUAAUAUAUAUAUGUUCCUAUUUUGUAUACACACUUAACCAUUAUUAUGCAAGGGUCUAAUGAUGUAAUAUAUAUCACUACACCACGCACCAGAUCUCCCUACCGGUGUGUGUUGGGAAAAGUCAAUUUCGCCAAUAGACUGUUAGUUGGGAAAACUUCUAAUGAAUUGUUGGUCGGCAAUAUGCGAGUAUCAUGUCCAACUGUUGGUCGGCAAUACUUGGAUAUUUCACGUUGGACUGUUGGUCGGGAAAGCUUUUGUCUGCGUCACACUGUUGGUCGGCGAUUAAUGCCGACCGACUGUUGGUUGCCAAUUGGGCCGGCCCAUCUUUGCUCGCGCGGGCCAAAAACUAGGCGCCAAGCCUCCCUCCUAUUUUUUCACUCAGCUUUUGUGCCACGACUAAAUCCAAAUUCCCCAAACCUAAAUCCCCUCACGCACUCCCUUCGCCGCCGAGCACUCGCUAUCUGGCAUCCCGCCCGCCACCGACCGCCCGCCGUCUCCAGCACACCGUCACCGUGGUAGCAAGGGUGCUUCCCUGUCUCCUUCAUCCUCCUGCAUCCCCGAUGCUUAGCCCCCAAGCACUUCUAACCCUAGCUUGUGCGCUGGAGUUUGGGGAGAGGCCAAGGUGCAGUGGUGGAUGCCGCCGUCCCUCUCAGAUCCGGGGCUGAGAGAGAGAGAGAGAGGUGGGUAACCUGCGAGAGAGAGUACUCGCACCCUCGCUUGUCACCCAGGCGCCGUCACCAUCGCUGCCACGGCAUGGGCUUCCUCCGAUCUGCACCCGCCGGUUCGUUUGAAGAAGGAUCUGGCCGUUGACUGUUGGUGCUUCCCCUCCCCCGACGGUGAGUGUUCUUCUCACUCUCCUCUCCCUCUCCACCCCUCCCCAAUUGGUGCUUCCGUUAGUUGAUUUGUUUGCCUUUCCCUUUUCCGUUCAGAUCUGCCAUAACUUGGGAUAGUACUUCUAUCCAGCAAGCAGCGCUUCGGCUGGGAGCUCAAGCUCAAGCAUAACGUCCGAAAAAAGGGCUCUAUCUGCUAAUGGGGUAGCCGGCAAUGCAGUCUAAGGGCUGGCUACUACUCAUCUGAUUUCUGGAUAUGAGAGGAUGAGAACUUGAGAAGAACAAGCUUGAUGCUAUGAUUGCGAAAAAACAUGUACUACAGGUAUUCCUUUCAGUACUGUUGCAGCAAUCCUUAAUUAGCUACUUUUUUAUGAACUGGUUGUGAUUGAUUUGUGAACUUUAGAGCUUGUGAGUUGUAAUGUGUGAUUUCAUAGGAUGCUUGAAGGUUAAUAAAAGGGUAUUAUUCCUACGAAAGUUCAUUACUUUAUAUAUAUAUAAAUUUAUCCACAUAUCUGUGCUUUGAUACGAGGGACAACCCUGAGAACUAGCUUCAUCCAUGAAAAGUCCAAAUAAUCAUAGUAAUGUUUCAGAUUUUUAGUUAAGUGUUGUAGAAUUCUUUUAAAUAGAGGAGUAUAUUAAAUUUUCAUCCUCUGAACCAGGUGAGAGUUGAGACACGCCAUACACAGGCUCUGCAAGAUGGCGGAAAUAGACCUCUUCGUCGAUGACUUCUACGAGGACGAUAUUGACCUAGAGGCUGGAGCUUUGCUACUCUUUCCGACUAACAACAAGGUAUCGUUUACUUUUUCUCUCCCCACAUACAAUCCUUCCCUGUUCCUGUCCCCCCUGCUUAUUUCUUGCUAUAGGGCAACACACUGCAAGUGUUUGUUAAAUUGUUAGUCUCAAUGCUCCAAUUCUGGCAGAAGGAUUUAAGGUAGGAAGACAUAGCACCAACCAAGGAUUUUCGGUAGGAAGACAUAACAUCACUCAUGGUUAUAUGGAUUUAAUGUUGUAUUUCUGUAUUUUUGCAAAAUUACUUCUGUGAAGCUUGUAGAUUAUUUCAGUUCUUCAGUUGUUUUACACUUAGGCUUGUAUUAACUUGCAACUUCUUUUCUCCAUAAUUUUGCAACAAUAGUUCUGUAGUACUUGGUACAGUUUUUCUGGAAUCAUGAUAAAAUACACAUAUAUCUAGCCGUUUGUAUUUCGACAGCACUGCUUCUAAAGAUUUUAGAGUUUUAUUUUCACUAUAAAUUUGCUUUAGUAGUUCUGUAAAUUCCAGAAUAUUUCAGUUAAGGGGUUCUACUCUUAGGCUUGUAUAGACUUACAACAUCUUUUAUUUGCAAUUUUGCAAUGAGAAUGGUUUCACAACUGUAGAUAGUUCAGCUUUAUAAGGCCAUUGUAUCCAUGAAGAAAUUUGUUAUUUAUUUCUGAAUACAUCUCGUACCAUUUAUCUGUACAUUGUAGAGCAACUCAUAUUGGUGUAGCGAUGCAUUUUAAGAUAUGGCAUGAAGCUAGCUAAUGGAUUUUAUUAUUUCUAGCAGCAUGUGAUUCACUGAACAAAAAAAGGACUGCACUCACAUAUGAAAUGCUUGCAAGUUUUAGAAAAAUGAAGCAAAGGACAAGUGGUGUAGGUAAGGGCUUUAAUUUGUUAGUACUCCACUUGCUAUGCAUCAAGAUUCAAUCAAGUAGGAUUCCCAGUGUAUUUGCAGUUUUUACAUAGUGUUUUGCAUGUGAAUUGUGGUCACUACUGUCAAUCCAUGGAAAGUUAAAUGUAUAGUGAUGGAUGAAACGAAUGGAACCUAUAUCAUGGGUUGCAAGUACUAUAUUGUUGCUUCUAAAACACUUGUAUGCACAGAUAGUUUCUCUUGGUUAUCAUAAGUGAACAUUAUUGAGAUAAAUUUUGCUUAGUUUUUUAGUGGGGAAGGAAAGCUUCAUGAUAUUCCAUUUAAAGCGAUGAUAUCUAUUUGAAUAUUAAUUUAUGUGCAUACCUCCUUGAUCCUAACAGUAUUUGUGUACUGUAUAGGAGAAAUCUUCUCAGUUUCUGAAUCCUGAGCAGUAGCAAGUCAGGUGCUUAAUGGUGAUCCUACCAUGCAUAUGGCAUAAGCAGGUUAGUUCUAAAAAGGUCAUUGUUAAUUCGCUCGCAUCUGUCCCGCAAUUGCCACAACUUAGUGUAGUGAGAUCAGAGGAUGGUCGUCAAUUUAAUCUAAUUUGUGGCACUGAAGUACAAAUGUUUUUAUGAAUAUAAUAGUCAGGUGCAGUGUAAGUUCAGAUGCUUUUAUGAAUAUAAUAGUCAGGUGGAGUGUAAGUUCAGAUGCUUUUUGUUUGGUAUUUUGCAAGUCCUCAUGUGCUUAGUACUGCAUUUGGAAAUGAUUGAGAAUAGAUUCUUCUCCUUGAGAUUCAUUUUUAACAUAGGGAAAGUAUGUAUAACCUCCUGAUGUACGUGGGUUUUUGAGAAUGCUUUUCCCAGGGCAUGCUGUACUCAUCAUUGAAACUCCUAGCUGUGUAUUAGAUAGUAAUAAUUUUGCCUAAUGUAUUGCCGUCUAGUGCAGCAAAGUGCGGUCUUUUCCACCCCAGAGAAGAAAAAGAAAGAAAAUUAGUGCAGUCUUUUCUUCAAAAAUGAUUUUCGUGUGUCCGGUGGUGGAUGUGUUGCUCCCAAUGAUUGGGUGUCUGGACAUGUUAAAUUGUUGCCCUGUGGCCAGAUGAUGCAUAUACUCCUUUUCCGUUUAAUAUACUUCCUGGUCUGCGGCUUGAGGAGAUUGAUGCAUGCUAUAUGGUGGGUCGGUGUGGCAUUGAUGCUUUAUUAUGUCUAACACAUCACAGAUUCUAAUUAGAACAUGCCCUGUUUUUAUAAUACUAAAAUCCGAGUUUGUUUUUGCCAUUGAUGCUUUAUACAAUUAUUAUUAUUGCCAUUAUCUCUAUGAAUGCAUGAAUUCACCGGUGACCCUUUUAUCCUUUGUAGGAAUGACAUACAAGAGGACCGGGAAGGAACCAUGAAGAUGGCAGUUUGCAUCAGCUAGACAUUUUGUGUAAUGGAGCAAAUACAAUGUGUCUUUUAGUUAGCAUUUUGUUCUUGUCAAUUGGGUAUUUUGUGUAAAGGAGAAAACAAUGAAUCGUCAGACAUGCAUCUAUCAUUUUAUAAACCAAUCAGGAGUCUUGGUGACUGAAACAUAAAUGUUUCCUCCUUUUAGUUAGUUACCUUUUACCUAUAUAAGAAUAUUCUUCUUUGGUUCUGGUUUAAUAUUUUUAGAGUUCAUGCAAGUUUCUGUUGCAAUGAGAUAUGCAACUUGAUUGAUAUUGUUUGGAAAGGCACAAGCCAAAUAAUGGCUGGGUAUUAAAUAUAUAUUGCUUGGCUAAACAAAAUGCUAUCAAACUGUUGGUUGGCAAAAGAUAACAACGUCCUACUAUUGGUCAGGAAAGUUUUAUGGUAGGGCUGAGAGGAAGUUGGUCAGCAAAUGUACUGCCAUCGGACUGUCCGUCGGGAAAGGUUUAUGGCAGGGCCAACGGAAAGUCGGUCGGUAAAGAAAGUACCAUCAGAUAGUCGGUCGGGAAAUUUUAUCAUCUGACAGUCGGUCGGGAAAGGUUCAUAGCAGGGCCAACCGAAAGUUGGUCGGCAAUGCUUUCGAUAGCCGUCAAACAGUCGGCCGGGAAAGAUAUGUCGGUCAGGAAAAGGCUUUCCCGUCUGGACUUUCCCCAACAGACUUGGUCGGUCGGUAAUAGUCUUUUCCGACCGAUUGUCUGUUGGUGAACGUUGUUUUCCCUAUCGACUUGUGUGUUGGGGAUGUAGUGUUGUGGUGUAGUGUAUGUUCCUAUUAUGCUGAGGAAAAGAAAAAAGGGAAACUGGUUAUAGCAGUAGCGCUUUAGUGAAAAAGAGCUAUAGCUAGUCAAGGUAGCAGUAGCGGUUUCUGCAAAAAAUCGCUAUAGCUGCUCGUAAUAGUAGUAGCGCGUUUCAUGAAAACGUGCUACUGCUACGUCCACUUAACCCAAAAUUCUCCCUCUCCCUGCUUCAUCCCGCCUCUUUUCCCCCAAAUCCCCACUCUCUCUUCCCCGGCCCCGUCGCACCGCCGCNNNNNNNNNNNNNNNNNNNNNNNNNNNNNNNNNNNNNNNNNNNNNNNNNNNNNNNNNNNNNNNNNNNNNNNNNNNNNNNNNNNNNNNNNNNNNNNNNNNNNNNNNNNNNNNNNNNNNNNNNNNNNNNNNNNNNNNNNNNNNNNNNNNNNNNNNNNNNNNNNNNNNNNNNNNNNNNNNNNNNNNNNNNNNNNNNNNNNNNNNNNNNNNNNNNNNNNNNNNNNNNNNNNNNNNNNNNNNNNNNNNNNNNNNNNNNNNNNNNNNNNNNNNNNNNNNNNNNNNNNNNNNNNNNNNNNNNNNNNNNNNNNNNNNNNNNNNNNNNNNNNNNNNNNNNNNNNNNNNNNNNNNNNNNNNNNNNNNNNNNNNNNNNNNNNNNNNNNNNNNNNNNNNNNNNNNNNNNNNNNNNNNNNNNNNNNNNNNNNNNNNNNNNNNNNNNNNNNNNNNNNNNNNNNNNNNNNNNNNNNNNNNNNNNNNNNNNNNNNNNNNNNNNNNNNNNNNNNNNNNNNNNNNNNNNNNNNNNNUUAAUUUACUUAGGUUUUAGUUAUGUUAAUUAGGUUAUCUAUUUAGUUAUGAAUUUAGAUAGGUUUCAAAAUUUGCUGAAUUUAUAUGCAAAUUUGAACUGGACAUGUGAUAUGUGGAUAUGUCAUGUUUUGGACAUGUCAUGUUUUGGUAAAUGAUCCGAGUUGCCUAUGUUACGCCGGAAUGUUGAUUCAUUUCCGUUCCGGUGAAUUUCAGGCGCUCGAUAUGUCCAUUUUUUAGCAAAGGUCAGGCCGAAAUUGUCCUCGUGCCUUAUCAUCCAAAGUAAGUCAGUUUCGAACAACCCUUUCAUACAUUUCAAUCAUUCCUUCUCUCUCUAUGGGGAAUAAUUUGAGGUGUCUUUUCCCCGCAGCAACGGGCGCGCCGUCCUUAUCAUUCUUUAUCCGCAAGUCUCCCACGCCGUGUAUUUUGACCCUUCCAGAGACUACGAGAAAAAAGAAUACACCCGCAUAAUGAAUAUUCUAGAUGAUGCUCUCCAAGGCUUCAGCUUUAGAGGUGGCCACAUGCAGAUCAGGAAACAAAGGAACAAGAAGAUGGGUUUCGCGCAUAAAACUAACUUCUCCUGCAUCCAAGUCCCAAAACCAAGCAAGAAGGAUGGAUUCUACAUCCUCCAUCUCAUGAUUCGGUUCAACACGGAUCACCAAAAGCUUCGCAUGAGAAGCAGAAAUGAUGAGCAUAUCCACAAGUGGCUAGAAUCUCAUGGAGAAGCGGAUUUUAAACUUAGAGAUGACUUCUUUCGCAUCCAAAGCGACAUUGCGACGAUCAUCAUGAAAGAAGGCAUCGAUGAGAAGGGGAUGUUCCACCACGGCCCUAUAUCACGAGCUGACAUCCGAGCUCGCAUAGGCAUGCAACGUCUAGACCUCACGCUGUUCAAGAAGCUACGGUCCAUCCUCGAUGAUAUGGAAGGAUGGAACUUCUAGUGAUUUAUGAUGCCGAUGAUGAUGAUAUGUGUCGGUUGAACUUGUAUACUAUUUGUAGCGAUGCAACUUUGUGAUGUCCAUGAUCCCUAGUUGCAUCUAGUUGCUAAACCUUUCUUUUUCGGUGUUCUCUAGUAUAUUUUGUUGCAUAUAUAUGAUUGUACAUCCUCUUCAUGAACAUGCAUCUCUAACAGGUACCUAGUUUCUUGAUGGCGAGAUGGAACUGCUAUGUCGUGUACAAAGGGAAGGUUCCAGGGGUGUACAACGAGUGGCAUGAGUGUCAGGCGCAAUUCAAUGGGUUCUUGGACGCCAGCCAUAAAGGCUUCAAAAGCAGACAAGAAGGAGAAGCUAGUUACUUGAGGUUCACGCUAGCGCGAGAGAGGACUCGUAACCGCCAUCUCAUGUACUGCAUAGUUCCGCUCUCACUCAUAGUGAUAGCUCUUCUCACGUAUACCUUUGUUUAGAUGGAUGACGUUGUAGUUGCAAGUAUUCGAGACUUGCAUGUAUCGCUAUUUUUGAGAUGAUGACAAGAUACCACUUUGUGUUGGAUGAUGAUUAUGACGAGACUAUUUGUAUGUAUAUGCUAUGAUUACAUUUGUGGUCUCGUAGGCAUUUGUAUGUGUAUCAUGAUGAAAUUUGUAUGUGCUAAAGAUUCUUCUAUAAAGCCUGUUCAAAUACAAAACAAAUAUGUUGAAAAAACAAAAAAACUACAAAAUUAGCAGUAGCGAGUGGAGAAAAGUUAGCAACAGCGCGGUUGUAGCAGUAGCGCGCACAGGGGAAGCGCGUUAUAGCUAUUAGCAGCAGCGAGGUUCCUUUAAGCGCGCUGCUGCAACACUUGUGUAGCAGUAGCGCGGGUGGACCAGCGCUACUGCUAUACGUUAGCUGUAGCGGCUUAUUAGUAGCGCCGGCCCCCGCGCUACUAAAAGGUCGAAAACCCGCGCUGCUGCUAGGCUUUUCCCUAGUAGUGUUUCACGGUAGAAUUCUGAAUGAUAUUGUGGAGGAUGUUUUAAGUCUGACCAGUUGCUCUGCUCUCCGUUGAUUUCGCGGGAUUCGAAUUUUGGGAAGCGCGCCAGACGGGCGAGGCCAUGGUAAUCGGGACGGAUUAGGCAGGUCUCCUCAAUCACCGCGCCCCCUUUUUCGCCAUGUAUUGUGCGCGUGACUGUUGCGGGAUUUGUUUAGAUCGUCUGGGACUACCAAUCAGUCACUCGGGGAAUGACCUUAUAAAAGGCACCGGACCGGAUCUCUGCACUGUGCGCUCCCAUUCUCUCUUCUUCUUCCUUCGACCUCUCUUCCACACUCGCUUUUGCUCUCGUCGUCGAACACUCGCUCGAACUCGAUCCGCCGCCAUGGGAAAAGAGAAGACGGUGGCGCUGGAGCACGCGAAGAAGGCAGCCACGAAGGCGAAGGGCAAGCGGACCAGCCGGGGCGGAUCCUCGUUGAGAUCCGGCCUGCCGCCGGGCUGGAUCCAGGGCGACUGGAUCCGCUCGACGAUCAGCCAGGACGACCUUGAUGACCUGGUGGAGGGGGGACUGAUCCCCCACAAAUCGGCGCGGCUCCCGGGGAACAAGACUGAGCCGCAGCCAAGGGAGGGUGAGUGCGUUCUCCUCACCACCCACGUCGAUCACGGAUUUUCUCUGCCUCCCCAUCCUUUCUUUCGGGGCUUUUUGAACUUCUUCGGGGCUCAGCUCCACCACUUCACUCCAAAUACCAUAGUCUAUCUGGUUGCUUUUGUGUCAAUGUGUGAAAAUUUCUUGGGCCGUCGACCGCACUAAGGUCUCUUCAAACACAUCUUCACCUGAUGCUCCCAGUAGGUCAAAAAGGCCAAUCCGAGUGAUGAGAGGACGCACGUGAUCCAGAUGUGCGGGGGACUGGGGAUCCAGAUGAGGAACAAGAGCACCUUCCCAGCGAUGAUCCUUCCCGACUCGGUCUGGGGCUGGCAGUCGACUUGGUUUUACUGUAAGGACCAGCUGACCCCGGGUCAGUCGACCGGACUUCCUCCCUUUUCCCUAGCUCGAGUGGAGAAGCCCUCCUCCUUUAGGGUGGUCCAAGACGAGAAGGCGCAGGUCAAGGUGUUGGUCGAGCGGGUCAUCCAACUCGUCCACGAUGGGGUGACUGGGAUGGACCUGCUGGAGGUCUUUCUCAGUCGACGCAUCCAACCGCUUCAGGCCCAUGACCAUCCGAUGUGGAUGUACUCGGGGCUUGAGGACUCCACUCGGAUCCACCCGGAGGACGUCAGCGAACACACUUUGGAGAAGUGGCUGAAGGGAAUCACCAGCAACAAAGACAAUCCCCAGGGGUCUAGGAGGGUGAUUCCAUUCGAUAACUCGUGCCAGCCGGAACAGGUAUGACUCUGCUUUGUCGAGUAACUUCUUGAUUCUUCGUGUGAGACCUUGUUGAUGGUCGACUGAAUUUCUUUCGAUCGUUGCCCUUUCAGGCCCUCGUUGACAUGUACUCGAUGCCCAAUGGAGUGCAGGGGCAAGACGUCGAUGAAGGAGCGAGCGGGGGCGAGAGCAGCGAGUGGCACUCGGAUGCCGAGGAGGACGAGGAAAGCGACGAGUCGACUGAUGACAAAGAGGUCGACUCACCUCCUCGCAGGGAGAGGAGUUCCAAGCACGCCCACGACCCGGCGAGCACCCCGGACCUGGCGACCGCGCCGACUGGGCAGUCUUCGAAGCGUCCCAGGACGUCUUCUGCAGUGCUGAUUGAGAAGGCUCCAAAGCAUCCCAAGGUUGUGCCGCCUCCAGCGCCCAAAGCACUGAAAGCCACCUCCUCCAAACUGCCAAAAGCUUUGCCCAGGAUAAAAGUGACCAUCCCUACCAUCUCUGGGUAAUCAUCUGACUUGUUCUUUUCGUCGACUCGAGCAACAGAACAUAACUGACUAAGUGCGGGCCUUUGCAGUGCUGCUACAUUAGGAACCUCUUCUCACCAGUACCGAGACGAGGAGAUGGAAGAUGCGGUUACUUCCAACCCAGGUAAAAACUCUUAUGAUCUUUCUCUUGACUACUCGGUCGAUUGAAUUCUAGCGGUUCACUUUGGAGUCGAUUGAUCUUCUCCGCAGCUCCGCCCAACGUCAUCGAUCUCCCAGAUGAUGAUGAAGAUGUGGCUCCUAGGCCCAGGAAGAAUAAAAAGGCGGCGACUGGUAAGGUGUCUCAGCAGGGACCGACGACAACAUCAACCGUCCAUCAAUCUAAAGACGCGGGUGGGGCCUCUGUAACCUUCGUUGUGCAGUUGUCGAGUGAGCGCCCCGCACCGUCGACUGUACCGGUGAUUCCUUCAGUCGUCCCAUCUCACGCCUCGGAGGUCCAAGCUGCUGCACCUGGGUCGUCUGCCCUCUUCUUCGCCAGCUACCCUGUCCCGGAAAACCAGUCGGAUGCGGCUGCGGAAGCCAUCCGUCAGGCUAACGUGAUGAUGGAGCGGAUGAAGACGGUGCACGAGAAUAGCCAGGCCGCUUACGACGCCAGCACUGCUCUCCGAGCCAAUGUCCAGGUAAGUAAACUUUCAACUGUCCUUGCUCUAUCAGGAUAUGCUACCCGAAAAUUUUUCUUCUAUACAAUCUCCUGUUGUUUGCGUCGAAUUAGUACACCCAGUGGGUGUUUUGUUGUCUUCGGUAGUUGCGUUCUUCCACUUGGUCUGGGCGAGUAGGAUCUGAACCGGUGGGGGCAUGCUAAGUGCACCCACUGGGUGUAGUCCCCGAGACCGCAGUCGAGUGCUGGCAGUCGACUAGGGUCUGAGUUCUACCUUCCUUUCUUUUCUUCCACUCGACCCGGGCGGACCGGUCGAAUGAGAUCUGAACCGGUGGGGGCAUGCUAAGUGCACCCACUGGGUGUAGUCCCCGAGACCGCAGUCGACUGCAGGCAGUCGACUGGGGUCUGGAUUUUUUUUAACUUGACCCGGGCGGACCGGUCGAGUUGGGUCUUAAUCAGCGGGGGCAUGCCAAGUGCACCCGCUGGGUGUAGCCUCUGAGACCGCAGUCGACUGUGUGCAGUCGGCUGGGGUCUAAGCGAACUUCUUUAAGUUUUAUCCACUCGGAAGUGAACAACCUUUGAUCUUGUCAACUGACACGUCUUUUGCCUUCUGCAGAAGUCUUGUACUCUCAUUUCCAUGUUUGCUGAACUUGAGGAGAAGCAUAGGCAACUCAACCUCAACUUGGAGUUGGCCCAGCAGAAUCUGAAGAAAGCUCAAGACGAAGCUGCUGGUAUGAAAGGUAACUGCCUGUCGGCUGUCUUUUUAAAACAUUUCUUCGAGCUCUUGUCUGAUCUGAUUGCUUCUUUUGCAGAGAAAAUGAAAUUGGCUCUAGAGAAGAAGGACUCGGACCUCGCCGCUGCACAGAAGGAAGCCCAAGAUAAAACUGCCCUUGCAGACCAGAAGUUGUCUUUAGUCGAAGCACUGGAAGGGGAGGUGACCAAACUGAAGUCCUGCCUCAAUGAGUCCAACCGAGAAGUGAGUCGUCUGAAGAAGGACAAGAUUGUCCUGAAUGAAAAGCUGGAGUCUACGGUCCACAAGAGGAAUGACACGGAAGCUUAUCUGAGAAAUCUUGUCAAGAAGCUCUAUCUGAUGCUGGAAGGUACUCCUUUCAACCCGACUGUGUUGAUGCUUGCAAAUGAACCUUGUCCAGUCGACUCACUAAUUUUUUUUGAUUGCAGAAUUCUGCCAAGACUUUGACGUGGAAACUGGAAGGGUUGAGACGGGUCUGGACCCUAUCGCUUCUCCAGUUUGUGAUGAAACUGCAAUGAACGUGCUCGGACUGAAGUCUCGUGUCGCCGGCGUCACAAGCUACCUCACGCGUCUGAAGGAAGUAGUCUCACGAGUCGACUCAUUGCUCUGGCCAAGGGCGACGUUUCAAACUGACCUGGAAUCCCUGAUGGCUCGACUCAAUGAGAUCCCUGACCGAGUGCAAGAAUGGAAGAAGGCUUCCGCCUGGUGUGGUGCUGACAUGGCGCUGUCCUUGGUGCGAGUCCACUGCAAGGAAGCUCGUGAAGACAAGCUGGCGGCAAUCAAGGUCGCUAACACCAAAAGGCAUGCCUUCCAGUCCUUCAUGGAGACUUUCAUCGCUGCUGCCACUCGGAUCGCGGAGGGAAUCGACCUGAACGAAUUCGUCGAGCCUGCUAGCCCUCCUCCUGCCGUGUGAACAAAAUUAUGAGACUAGAAACUGCCUUAAAUUUGCCUCAGAAUGCCGAGUGAUUUCUGUAACCGUUAAACUCCUUUGGGCUUGAUGAUCGAAUACUUUUGAUUUGCUGUUUGGAACUUCAGGAUUUAUCCCAAUUUGGUUUAUUUCCGAAUAUGCUUUUGUUUUGUCUUCAAGUGGACUUUGUUCUUUGUUCUGAAUAAUCUUUGUGCUUGAAAUGUAGCUCUGAGGUGGUGACUCCAGUCGACCUACAUGCAUUGCAGUCAACCUGCACCUCAUCGUCCUUGCGGAUAGGGAUGUAGCGCGCAUUGUACUUGUGGCAUAGCUCCGAAGGAAAAGGUUGCAGUCGACCUGCACCUCGUCGUCCUUGCGGAUAGGGGUGUGCUUCGAACUUAGGCGAGUAUUGGACUGCAGCUAAGCCUCCGGGUGGGAGAACUUAGGCUAGUGUCGGACUGCAGCUAAGCCCCCGAGUCGGAGGAUUGCUCUCCACUCGGUAGGAUUUUUCAAACUUAGGCGAGUGCUGGACUGCAGCUAAUCCUCCGAGUGGGAGAACUUAGGCGAGUGCCGGACUGCAGCUAAGCCUCCGAGUGGGAGGAUUGCUCUCCACUCGAUAGGAUUUUUUCAAACUUAGGUGAGUGAUGGACUGCAACUAAGCCUCCGAGUGGGAGAACUUAGGCGAGUGCCGAACUGCAACUAAGCCCAUGAGUGGGAGGAUUGCUCUCCACUCGGUAGGAUUUUUUUCAAACUUAGGUGAGUGCUGGACUGCAGCUAAGCCUCCGAGUGGGAGAACUUAGGCGAGUGCCGAACUGUAGCUAAGCCCCUGAGUGGGAGGAUUGCUCUCCACUCGGUAGGAUUUUCUUUCGAACUUAGGCGAAACGGAUUCGCAGCUAAGCCCACCCACUGGGGAUUUCGAAGGUACAUAAGGACAACAACAAUCGAAUGAGAAGACUGAAAAGCUCUUGUCUUUAAUGAACAUAUUACAAAGGUACUUCUUAUUACAUUUUAUUCGAAUGAGUGCUUAAGUAUAAAAGGGGCGAAGCAACUCCGCGUUCCAAGCCCGUGGCUCGUCCUUCUGUUGCUCAACGCUGUAAAAAUGGUAUGCUCCAUUGUGGAGAACUUUGGUGAUGAUGAAGGGACCUUCCCAAGCCGGGGCGAGCUUGUGUGGUUUCUGUUGAUCCACUCGAGGAACCAGGUCCCCCUCUUGAAAGGCUCAACCCCUCACGUUUCUGGCGUGGAAUCGACGCAAGUCUUGCUGAUAGAUGGUCGACCGGAUCAGGGCCAUCUCUCUUUCCUCCUCUAAGAGAUCGACUGAAUCUUGUCGGGCCUGCUCUUCUUCCUCUUCGGAGAAGAGCUCGACUCGGGGUGCGUUGUGUAGCAGGUCACUUGGUAGAACAGCUUCGGCUCCAUAGACCAAAAAGAAAUGAUUUCGUCCGGUCGACCGAUUGGGAGUUGUCCUCAAACCACAAAGAACUGAUAGAAGCUCAUCGACCCAAGUGCCUGCUGCGUGUUUGAGAUCACACAUCAGUCGGUGUUUCAAUCCUUUGAGAAUUAGGCCAUUGGCUCUUUCUGCUUGUCCGUUUGACUGCGGGUGAGCGACUGAAGCAUAGUCGACUCGUGUGCCUUGAGAAGCGCAGAAAGCUCUAAACUCAUCAGAAUCGAAGUUUGACCCGUUGUCCAUGAUGAUGCUGUGUGGAACUCCAUAUCUGAAUGUCAAUUCUCUGAUAAAACUGACAGCGGUGCUGGCUUCAAGAUUCUUGAUAGGUUUAGCUUGGAUCCAUUUGGUAAACUUGUCGACUGCAAUGAGCACAUGAGUGAAGCCGCUCCUACCAGUUCUCAGUGGUCCGACCAUAUCCAGUCCCCAAACAGCAAAGGGCCAGAUGAGGGGAAUUUUCUUCAGGGAUGACGCUGGCUUGUGAGACAUGUCGGAGUAAAACUGGCAGCCUUCACAUCUGUCGACUAUAUCUUUCGCCAUUUCAUUUGCUCGUGGCCAAUAGAAUCCAGCUCGGUAUGCUUUAGCCACGAUGGCCCGAGAGGACGCAUGGUGACCACAAGUUCCCGAGUGGAUGUCAUUGAGGAUCAUUCGAGCUUCUUCUGGCGUUAUACAUUUCUGACCGACUCCAGUCACGCUUUCCCUGAACAGUUGUCCUCUUAUCAUAGUAAAGGCCUUGGAUCGACGGACGAUCUGUCAAGCCUCUUCCUCGUCCUCUGGGAUUUCUUUCCUAAGGAUGUACACAAUGUACAUCAUUUGUCCAGUCGGGAGUAAUGGCCAGAACCUCCAUGAUCAGGUCGACCACGGCAGGGACCUCGACUUUAGUUGGAUCUGUGGCGCUCCUAGGCUACGGGGGCUCUUCAGUAAAAGGAUCUUCCUGAACUAUCGGCGUGUGAAUAUGCUCCAAAAACACAUUGCUGGGAAUGGCUUCUCUCUUAGAACCUAUGUUUGCCAAGUCAUCAGCUGCUUGAUUUUUCAGUCGGGGUAUGUGAUGCAGCUCUAACCCCUCAAACUUCUUUUCCAGCUUCCUCACCGCGUUGCAGUAACCAGUCAUGGCUGGGCUUCUGACGUCCCACUCCUUCAUCACUUGAUUGACUACCAAAUCUGAGUCGCCGUAGACCAUCAGGCAACAGACGCCAAGUGAGAUGGCCAUACACAACCCAUACAGGAGUGCUUCAUAUUCUGCUUCGUUGUUGGAGGAAUCAAAGUGAAUCUGGAGGACAUAUCUGAGCUUGUCUCCUCGGGGGGAUACCAGAACAACCCCAGCACCGGAACCAUUCAGCAUUUUGGAUCCAUCAAAGAACACGGUCUAGUGCUCCGAGUGAACUUGAGUCGGCAGUUGUUGUUCAAUCCACUCGGUGAGGAAAUCUACUAUUGCUUGGGACUUGAUAGCUUUCUUUGCCGCAAACUUGAUAUCUAAGGGAAGGAGUUCAAUCGAUCAUUUUGCCACUCGACUAGUUGCAUCUCUAUUGUGCAGAAUCUCUGACAAUGGAGUGUCGCUGAUGACUAUAACAGAGUGAUUAGAGAAAUAGUGUGCAACCUUCUUCGUGGUCAUGUAAAUCCCAUAAACGAGCUUCUGAUAGUGCGGAUAUCUCUGCUUUGACGGAGUCAGAACUUUAGAAAUAUAAUAAACUAGGCGCUAAACUUUAUAGGUUUUUCCCUCUUCUUCCCGCUCGACCGUAAGUACUGUAGUGACGACUUGUCCAGUGGCUGCUAUAUAAAGCAGUAAAGGCUCUUUAAUGAUUGGGGCAGCAAGCAUCGGCUGGGUGGAAACCAGGGCUUUUAGCUCUACAAAUGUCGCGUCAGCUUCAGGAGUCCACUCGAACUUAUUUGAUUUCUUCAUCAGUCGGUAAAGAGGCAGUGCCUUUUCACCAAGGCGAGAAAUGAAUUGACUUAGGGCGGCCAAGCAACCAGUAAGCUUCUAGACAUCAUGCACACGCACAGGGCGUUUCAUUCGGAGUAUAGCACCCACUUUCUCUGGGUUAGCAUCAAUCCCUCGUUCAGAAACGAGAAAACCAAGUAACUUUCCACCUAGAACUCCAAAUGUGCACUUUGAUGGAUUAAUCUUGAUAUCAUACCUUCUGAGGUUGGCAAAGGUUUUAGCAAGGUCAGCCAGUAGGUCGGAACCUUUACGUGACUUGACCACAAUGUCAUCCAUGUAUGCUUCCACAUUCCGACUGAUCUGAGUGAGCAAGCACUUCUGAAUCAUCCGCAUGAAUGUGGCUCUGGCGUUCUUCAAACCGAAUGGCAUAGUGACAUAACAGAAGCAUCCGAAUGGGGUGAUGAAAGCUGUUCUUAUCUCGUCGGGUCCGUACAGACAGAUCUGGUGGUACCCGGAGUAGGCGUCCAAAAAGGACAAACGCUCGCACCCCGCAGCCGAGUCAACUAUCUGAUCAAUGUGAGGGAGAGGAAAUGAUCUUUCGGGCGUGCCUGAUUGAUAUGUUUGAAGUCGAUGCAAGUAUUAGUCAGCUCCAGCAGCUUUCCCCCUCCCUGCGGUCCGCUGGAGCAAACGCUCCGGUCGGUCGAGGCUUAGCGGUGGGUGAGGCAUGUGGUGGCUCGCCAGUCGGCCACCCCUCAAGUCGACGCACAUGCAAAGUGAUUCGUCCUUCUUUGGGACCAUGACAACAUUAGCUAACCACUCAAAGUGGUAAAUCUAAUGGAUAAACUCAGCAGCCAAAAGCCGAGCCACCUCUUCAUCGAUUGCCUUCCUCUUCUGAACGGCGGGCCGUCGAAGAUGUUCUUUGACUGGUUUCACUUUUGGGUCGACUCACAAACGAUGCUCAGCCAGAUCCCUGGGAACACCUGGCAUGUCCAAAGGUUUCCAUGCAAAGAUGUCCCAGUUCUCACGGAGGAACUGGGUGAGCGCUUCUUCCUAUUUGGAGUCGAGCGUUGUUGAAAUGUGAGUCGGAGCAGCAUUAGGAUCCGUCGGGUGGAUGUGAAUCGACUUUGUUUUGCCAGACGACUGGAAUGCUGAAUCCGUGGCGGGCUUCUUGGCUCGCAACAAAUCACUCGGAUCUGCGUUUUUUUGAUACUCUUGCAAUUCUGCCACAGCCAUCUGUGCAUCGGCGAUCUUUGAGCACUUCUGGAAGCACUCCUCUACCUUCUUCCGACUACCAGUGGUACUGAUCACCCCUUUGGGACCAGGCAUCUUCAAUUUGAGGUACACGUAGCACGGUCGAGCCAUAAAACGUGCGUAAGCUGGCCUGCCCAGAAUAGCAUGAUAGGCACUCUGGAAAUCCACAACUUCAAAUGUCAACCUCUCUUUGCGGUAAUUCUUGGAGUCGCCAAAAACCACGUCGAGAGCAAUCUGGCCGAGUGAAGCAGCCUUCUUGCCUGGAAUGACCCCAUGGAAACUCAUAUUACUUUCACUGAGCCUGGACAUCAGAAUGCCCAUCCCUUUCAACGUCUCUGCAUACAGAAUAUUCUGGCCACUUCCACCAUCCAUCAGAACCUUAGUCAAUCGGGUGCCUUCGACUACGGGGUCGACCACCAACGCUUGCCUCCCAGGGGUGGCUAUGUGUGCCGGGUGAUCGGACUGGUCGAAUGUAAUGGCAGUCUGGGACCAUUUCAAGUAACUGGGUGUCACCGGAGUGACCAUGUUUACUUCUCUGUUGAUGGUUUUCAAUCGACUUUUACUCUCAACAUCAGCAAAAAUCAUCAGAGUGGAAUUCACGUGGGGAUAACCAUCAUCAUCUUCCUCCUCGUCCUCAACGUUGUCAGUUUCUUUCUCCUUUUCCUUGAAUCACGGCUAAGGCCUCGACAGGAGCUGCUGGCUCAGCUUUGCGUCUUUGCUUCUGACUGGAACUUCCCCCUCCGGCUUCAUGGGCGACUGUUUUGUGCUUGCCACUCCGGAGUAGUUCUUCUUCUUCACCAUUGGCAUACUUGGUGGCAAUCUCCAUCAUCCGAGUCAGAGUCAUAUUUCCUGUCCGACCGAAUUUCAGAUACAACUCCCAAUACUUGACGCCUUCUUUAAAGGCAUAAAUUGCCUGAUGAUCAGACACAUCCUCCACCAUGUGGUGCAGGGUAAUCCAUCUCUGGAUAUAAUCCCUCAAUGUUUCAUUCGGUUUCUGAACGCAGCAUUGUAAUUCUGUCAAACCUGCCGGUCGUUUGCAAGUGCCCUCGAAUGUUCUGACAAACACUCGGGCGAGAUCUUCCCAAGUAUAAAUACUACUAGGUGCCAACUGAUUUAGCCAUGCUCUAGUCGAGCCCUCCAACAUCAGAGGAAGGUGUUUCAUGGCCACUUCGUCAUUACUGCCACCAAUCUGGAUAGCCACUCGGUAGUCUUCAAGCCAAGUGUCAGGCUUGGACUCACCAGUGAACUUACUGACUCCAGUUGCCAACCUGAAGUUGGCGGGAAUCACUGCAGCCCUGAUGGCUCUGCUGAAGCACUCUGGACCUGAGACAUGCACCCUGCUGCUGGUUUGCGGAUCCCUGUCAUGGCCUCGGUGAGCUUUGUUUCUGUCGACCAAGCCCUGAACGAGAAUAGAUCUCGCAUCAAAGCCUGGCUCCCUGGGGUCGACUGGAAUCCCUCGCCCAACACUGUGAGGGCGCCUGUCAUCAUGUUGCCGAGGCACAUAUGACCCACUCCUUGGGGGAGGUGUGGGCACUCGACAACGAUCAUCGCGAUCGACUCGGUGUUCAUACUACUCACGGUUUCUGUACUGAUCUCGUCGAUCUCCACGUCCUUCACGCCUCGGGGGCGAUCUUGGGCUGUGAGCCAACUGAACUGUGUCUCCAACCACGGAUCUGCUAUGGAUCCUAUUCCGCGACUGAGACACGGCUGUAUUCUGUUCUCCCGCCGCCCGAAGCAAAGCUCGGAUUUGCACCAGACCUCGGCCAGCUUCUGACUGGGAAGGUUGGAUCGACUCUGCUAUCCGGGCAGCAACUGCAAGAUUCUGGAUCAGAGUCCGGUAUACCUGAGUCUGAGGCGGAAAAAGUUGGCGUCGACUGGAUUCGGGAGAUCACUGCUGAGCGCGAUCAUCGAGUGCGCGCUGGAGGUUCUCCAGUCAAGUGCGCUCAGCCAAGUUGGCCAGGCACGCCUGCUCCAAGGCCUGGGCCUCAGGGGUUUCUCCAACUAUAGGAGUAUGCAGUGCAUCCAUGUUCCAACAGCGAAGUUCUUCCCUCCGCUGCGUAGAGAGGGGUUCGGGGCGGUACUCUUCAUGAACGUGCGACGGAUCACCGUCCCCAUCGCCUCCGUCUUCACGGGUGAAGCCAGGAGGACUGCGUGGUCCAUUGACCAUCAAAACUUCUGCCGCUGGGUCACUGUUGUCGCACUCGGAUGCAGUCUCUACGGAGCAAGUCGACAGAUUGAACAGGCCAUAGAGAGUUUCGUCGGGCUCGAUUGCCACGACUUGAGGGGUGGCCGACUGGCGAGCCACCGCAUGCCUCACCCACCGCUGAAGCCUCGACCGACCGGAGCGUUUGCUCCGACGGGCCACAGGGAGGGGGAAAGCUGCUAGAGCCGACUGAUACUGGGUCGACGGCUACCGCAGGAGGAUGCCGCGAAUGCACGCGCGAAAGUGCGUCGCCCCGCGGGCGGGGAGUGCGCCGACGUCGAGUGGAGCCUCCUGAAGCCAAGCGGAGUCGUCGGUGACAAACACGAGCGUGCCGAGACGGAUCUCGCGGCCCUCAGCCAAACCUCUGCCUGAAACCAUGAUGAAGGGGAUCGGAAAAUUGCAACUUCUCCAACAAUUCGCUAAGACACCUGCCCCACGGUGGGCGCCAACUAUCGUGGUUCUAAGCAUGACAGUAGAAUAGGGGGGUAGGAAUGUAGAGGCGAGAUCCUAGCUAUGGAGGAGUUGUACACGCGAGUUUUACGAGUCCAAGCCCUUCUCGGAGGAAGUAACAGCCAUACUUCUCGGUGCCCAGAGGCGGCUGAGUGGCUUAUAUAGAGUGCACCAGGACCCCAGCUCCCCUCCGUUACACAGGGUUCAAUGUUCAUAAAGGAGGAGCGUUACUGAUAACGUCCAAAGUAAAGUGCUAUAAAUGAUUAUUAAAGCUAUGACUUAAAUCCCGACCGUUGCGGAGUGAGUGGCUUCACAUCUUCUGGUGGUCGAGUGGUUGUUCGCAUGGUCGAGUAUCUUCAAGGUUGUCGAGUGGAACAUAGCUUCGUGGUCGAGUGGAUGAAGAUCUCUCUUUGAUUGCUUCUGGUUCUUUUUAGAGAUGUCCUUAGGGAGGGUAUCUUGGAUAGAUCCCUAACCGUACCCUAGGUUCACAGCUUCGUCAGCGGGCCCACAUGUCAUUCUCUAUUUUAGUUAUUUGUGAUUAUUUCAAACUGAGGUUAAUUAGUGCAUGUGGGUCCCGUUGUUAGUGUCUGGUUAGGGGGGUUAAUUAGUGCUAAGUCAGCAGGGGAGGCCGGCUGGGCUUACACGGGCACCAGGCGCUGGCGGCCAUAGCCGGGCGGCUGGACGCGCACGGGAGCCAAGGGCUCCGGUGCCCACGACUAGUAGCAGCGGCGACCAAAUGGCGGGGUGCUAGAGCGGGCAACGGCUGCCGGAGGCAGACUAAAGGCGGCGGUGUUAGCGAGUAGCAGCAGAGCACGGCAGGAAGCGGCAGCGGAGCGAUUGGCGCGGCGUACGGGCGAGGGCAGGACAAGGCCGCGGUGAGCGCGACGAGCACGAGUGCUCGCGGGCGCGGGCGCGGGCGGAGGCAAGGACGCCGGGUAGGGCCACAGCGAGCGCGACGCGUUUAGCAAGGGGGGAAGAGGGAGCAUGAGGUGGUGCUCAUGUUCGAUGCAGGGAAGGGGGCGGCGUGGCUCGAUGGCGUCCGACGAGGAGGAGGAUGGGGACGAGCAACCGAGAGGAGGAGAUACGGCGAGGAAGCAGUCCGGCGAGGCGGCUUUUGGCGACGGCGAGGUUGCUCUGGUUGGUGGCGAUUCCUUCGGCGCGGGCGCGCGAAGGACGGUGAGGCGCCGGCGGUUGGAGGUAGAGGGCGGCGUCGGGGCCAAGGGGACGGGGAAGGCUAGCACCGAGGCAUGGCAGUGGCACGGCUCGGUGGAGCCUGGAGCGAACGAAGGGAGGAGAGGCUGUGAGGGGGGUUCAAGCACGAGGCGUCUCACCUCUGUGUGUGCGGCGGCGCGAGGG
rnacentral:lncRNA from 1 species